GGAGAUAAUGCUAGAUGUGGCACAUUGAUUCCAAACUCGCGCAUGAGCUUUGGAAAAGGAAUCGCGAUGCCAUUCCAACUUGUGGAUGCCUCAGUGGUCUGGCAACAGUGGUAUGGAGUGCUGUGUUGGAAUAGAGGCUGGACACUCAUGACUUCAACAUAAAUACACCUCAAUGUUUUGAGAGUUUCCUGUGAAAUUACAUUGUUUAAUUACUUUCCUGGUACAACAGAUGAUUACUAACAACAUUUUGGUAAAUAAUAGUAUUUCUAAAGUAUAUUUUUUAGUGUUUAAGGCGUAAGAAAGUGGAAAUAUAUUUCACAGGAAACGUGGGUGCUGGACUCGGGAACAGGUGGGGCGUCAAGAAGUUUUAAUUCUCUCGACUCAACCAACAAAGUUAGAGGACUACGGCAUUGGACUGGAGACGAGGGCAGUAAUAAGUUAGUGAGGCUUGUGUAGCACAGCUGGAAGACUGCGCUGAACGACAAACAAGUGAUACCUGAACAUCCAAGUAAUGUGGAAUAAUACACGCCACACACAGACAACGUUGGAAAAAACUGGAAAUAAAUUCAGCGUGAUGCGACCCUCUCUCGACAACGUUUCGUUCAGACUGAGUUUUAUCAGGACACACACAUAUCUGUAACUUGAUAAUGCCCACUAUUUAGGCGAAAGGUUGUUAAUAAAGGAUCACAUUAUACUGCAUUUGUGUGUAUUUUCACCGUGUUUGUAUUUUAUACCUUUUAUUUCCACUCAGACUACGAGCUCAUUUCAUAAAAAAAAAGAUAUAAAACACAUUUGCGAGGAUACUGGCAUUAUGUUCUUCAUGUAGGGAAUUAGAGCUGCCUUCCAUUUCCUCGUAUUAAACCUGAUGAAUAUACCUCCCUUGGGACAUAUGAACUUGAAUAUCUCAGCAAAUAUACCUUGCACU